AUGGGAUAUGGGUAUAUGUGUCCUUCUGACUUGAGACUGCCUUGGUGACUUGCAAGCAACUCACUAUGUUUUGAUGCUGAACUACCGAAUUUCUAAUUCGAUGGUAGAAGAUUUCUGGGUACUGUUAAGUACUUGUGAAGUCUAAGUGCGAGUCAAGAUGGGAUUAAUCGCUCCAAGUAAAAUUAGAGAUGAUGCAUCACUGUGUUUCAAUUUAGCAAAAUUUUGAUCAA
rnacentral:lncRNA from 1 species